UACGUAGGGUGCAAGCGUUGUCCGGAAUUAUUGGGCGUAAAGAGCUCGUAGGCGGUUCGUCGCGUCGGCUGUGAAAACCUGAGGCUCAACCUCAGGCCUGCAGUCGAUACGGGCGGACUUGAGUACUGGAGGGGAGACUGGAAUUCCUGGUGUAGCGGUGAAAUGCGCAGAUAUCAGGAGGAACACCGGUGGCGAAGGCGGGUCUCUGGGCAGUAACUGACGCUGAGGAGCGAAAGCGUGGGGAGCGAACAGG
rnacentral:rRNA from 1 species